UACGGAGGGGGCUAGCGUUAUUCGGAAUUACUGGGCGUAAAGCGCGCGUAGGCGGUGUGUUAAGUCGGAUGUGAAAGCCCAGGGCUCAACCUUGGAACUGCAUCCGAUACUGGCACGCUAGAGUGCAGUAGAGGGAGGUGGAAUUUCCGGUGUAGCGGUGAAAUGCGUAGAGAUCGGAAGGAACACCAGUGGCGAAGGCGGCCUCCUGGACUGACACUGACGCUGAGGUGCGAAAGCGUGGGGAGCAAACAGG
rnacentral:rRNA from 1 species